CCCAGACUCGGGCGGGCAAGAACCUGGGCUGACCUGCUGCGUCUCACCUGAAAAUUGCCCACUAUGGAGGUGCCCAAGGUGCAGAGGAGCCCCGUCCACAGGAUCAGCUGCUGGAGUUCCCCACAGGCCGGGCCUGAGUGGGAAGGGCGAUCUUAGUGAUGACAUCUCCAUCGGAGAAACCUCCCUCCCAGAAAGCGACUGCUUCCUCUACCUGGACCGUUUUCUUCUCUCUCCGGCAGAACAAGCCUCAACUUCCUGGCUUCCUCCCCUCUUGGUACUCAGGUGUUUGUGUCCUAGGCCCCCUCCUGCUGCCCCAGGACCCAGGAGUCCAGGCCCCAGCCCCUCCUCCCUCAGACCCGGAAGUUCCAGCCCCUCCUCCCUCAGCUCCCCAUCUCUUUGUUUUUAAUAAAUUUAUUUAUCUAUCUA